rnacentral:lncRNA from 1 species
GCAAAGACUUUAAAAUUGACAGGGAUCCACAGUGUGCUGCUCUAGGAAGCUCACGGCAGCCUCGGAUCACCUGGUCAUUAAGAGGUUAAAUCCCGUGUGCCAGAGGUAGACGUUUCAUCGACCAAAUUAUAUGUGUGUUUUUCUGAUCCACAGGUCUACAGAGCAGGCAAAGGAACAGGUGCUGCUUACGGAAAACACGACUUCUUCAGUAUCAUCCCUGCUCUCUCCCAGCCAAGGGCACCGGGCGAUGUGCCCUUGGUUCCAUACAGACUCCGGUGUCCUGUGUAGAAAGCCUAAUCCAGAGUUACAGAGACGCCUGGGAGGUUAAGAGCCCUUGUUGCUCUUGCAGAAGAUCUGUGGUCCAGUCUCAGCGCCUAUAUCAGCAUUUCUCAACCUGUGAGUCGAGACCCUCUGGGCAGUCACC